AAUCAUCCACAUCCACUGGUGAAUUACUUAGUACCCCCUUGCGGACCUCUGGAAAGCUGGGCGGCUGUCUCUCGGGGCAGUCGGGCUCCCGCGGCUCAGCCGUGGGGAGUCGGCAACCAACCUACACACCCAACCAAUCCGUCUGUCUGAAGCUGACUCGAUCUAGCACUGCUAAUCGACCAACAAAGAC
rnacentral:rRNA from 1 species